rnacentral:rRNA from 1 species
UACGAAGGGGGCUAGCGUUGCUCGGAAUGACUGGGCGUAAAGGGCGCGUAGGCGGCUUAUACAGUCAGAUGUGAAAUUCCUGGGCUUAACCUGGGGGCUGCAUUUGAUACGUGUGGGCUUGAGUGGGGAAGAGGGUCGUGGAAUUCCCAGUGUAGAGGUGAAAUUCGUAGAUAUUGGGAAGAACACCGGUGGCGAAGGCGGCGACCUGGUCCUUGACUGACGCUGAGGCGCGAAAGCGUGGGGAGCAAACAGG